rnacentral:rRNA from 1 species
UACGUAGGGUGCGAGCGUUGUCCGGAUUUAUUGGGCGUAAAGGGCUCGUAGGCGGCGUGUCGCGUCGGGAGUGAAAGCCCGUUGCUUAACGGCGGGUUGGCUUUCGGUACGGGCAUGCUGGAGUGCGGCAGGGGAGACUGGAAUUCCUGGUGUAGCGGUGGAAUGCGCAGAUAUCAAGUGGAACACCAGUGGCGAAGGCGAGUCUCUGGACAUUUCCUGACGCUGAGGCACGAAAGCCAGGGGAGCAAACGGG